CUGAUGUCACAGCUAUUUAAAUACGUAAAUCAUUUAAAUUUGGUGCCGAAUUUCAGCAUUCCUGCAUCAAGAACACUUCAGUUCUGUGCUACAGCUGUACACAAUAAAAGCUUUUUUGGAGGGGAAGGAUGCCAAGGAACAUGUACUAAAUAUUGAUUUUGUUAUCAGAUUGAGACGUGAUAUAUAUAUAUAUAUAUAUAUAUAUUUUUAAUUCUGUAUCGGAUACUUCUCUACAUGAUCUGUGACAUACAUACAUACAUACGUACACCAAUUGAUUUAUUUUUGCAUGCUUUUAGUUUGUCCAAGUAAUUUCUCACAAUGAUUGCAUGGGCAAAGAAUUUGCAAGCCAAAACGCCACAUUGACAGUUUUGGUCCACAAAAAGUUAUUUCUGGCAAAAAAUAAAUAAAUAGUUUGUUCACCAUACACAAGUUUAGUAAUAAGUAUAUUCUGGUGGCCAAAAC